rnacentral:misc_RNA from 1 species
UUGUGGAAGAAGACCCCGAAAGUGGGGCUAAUGACUGGGGUGAAGUUGUAACAAGGUAGCCGUACCGGAAAGGUGCGGCUGGAUCACCUCCUAACGGAGACAACAAAAUGUUAAAUAUUAAUUUUGUCACCUUAGGUCGAUCGGUAUCUCACAUUCUUAAUUUAUUAAGGAUUUUAUUUCCUAAGUUCUUUCUAGGUCACACCCAUUACUUUCCCUGGGCCAUUAGCUCAGGUGGUUAGAGCGCACCCCUGAUAAGGGUGAGGUCCCUGGUUCAAGUCCAGGAUGGCCCAUAUCUCUAUGUUGGGGGUAUAGCUCAGUUGGUAGAGCGCCUGCUUUGCAAGCAGGAUGUCAGCGGUUUGAGUCCGCUUACCUCCACUGAUUACCACCUCUUCCAUAUCUUUACAGAGGGGAAAUGUUUUGAGUUGUGAUCAAAUUCUGAACGAAUCUAGCUUCCUAAUUAUUUUUAAUUAAGAUGCUGGACUCAUUGAAUUGAUUUCAAUGUUUUCAGAGAACCUUGACAACUGCAUAGAUUAUUUUUAUAGACAAUUAGCAUCUUUAAUGAUGCAGAUUUAUUAUUUGUGCGAAUGCAUUAAUAACAAUUCUAUUAAGCUGAUGCUUCAAUUUUGAAGUUAUUGGUCAAGCUACAA